AUGGAAAGGAGAAAAGAAGAAGAAAAAACAAGAAAAGGGGAUAAGAGGGAGACAGCAGGCGGAAUCAAAAGGAAGCUAAAGAGAGGAGCGGCAGAACACGGGCAGCCUCCCUCGAGAAGCCAAUAGAGGUAGAGAGGAGGGCUAGGGUUUUUGCGAACUUCGAUACUGCUUCCGCAAGAUGCCGCCGACGGCCGGAGUCGUUCUUAGCGCGGCUGUCGCGAAACGGGGGAGGCAUUGGAAGAGAAGACUAUGGAGGUACCAAGAUAAUGCUGAGUGGAAGGACUGCAGUCGAAAAUCCUCACAUUGAGCAUCCAACUUCUCCAGUCCUUUUAGUAUUCAUAUUGCAUAUUAAUUUGCAGGACUGGCAAGGAGAGGUAGGGGAAUGAAGCCCAUUGGUCCGGAAGCAUAUAUAUGUUAAUAUAUAUGUCCCAUAUUGUUGGAUGGUUAAGGUAGUGAAUCAGGUAAAGUUAAUUCAGCGAUUUUCCAAAUUUUUGUCCAAUUCUUUUGUAUUUUACAUAAUGUUAUAUGCAUUAUGUAAUUUCAGUUGUAUGUUUCUGGUACCUGUUGCCAUCAGACUUAGCAGAGGAUCAUUCUCAAUUUAGUUUUCACAAAAGGAAGAAAUUAUUCUAGAAAGUUGUCUCGAUUGACCAAAUGA